GAAGGUGGGUGUGCUUGGUGGGUGUGCUUGGGGCGCGCGCGUCGCCGCCGCUGCCGCCUCAGCCUGCUGCUCCGCCCGCGCCGCCUGCUCCCGGCGCUUGGCCCCAGCACGCCGGCUCCCGAGCGGCCGUGGGCGGCGCGGGGUUCGCGGUGUAGAGUCCGCCAGUCCCGGACCCGCGUCCCGCACCCUGACGGUCCCGGGCUCUGUCUGCAUUUGCUGCCAUGGGGAGGCGCAGUGUGGGAGCAUUGUCCCCGCAGAGAGACCGUCUGUAUGACUACCGGACGGCAAGGGUGGUCUCUGAUGUUGUCUCGGUGGAAGACCAUUUGAGAACAGAGGGGAGCCUCGGGAGCCUCAGGAGCCUGCGCGGUGGAGAUGGACCCCACAGAGGACCCCUGUAAUAAAGGCAUACUUUAGACUGCUCCUUAGAACUGCCUGGAAGGAACCUGACUGGAAGGAGAGGAGCCUGCCAUGGAUCUAGGCCAGGAGUAACUCCCCAUAUGCCCACUUUGGCCUUGACCUUUCUCGGUCUCGGUGUGCCCUUAAUUGAGUCCUCCAAGGUGGUCGAGAGGCUGGGGCCCUGCAGGACUGCUGCCUUUGUCCAUUCCAACCCCCAUGCCGUUAGAAAUUUUAUUCUCCGUGGUAGCCCAGGUUGGCUCCAAGCUGGAUUUUUGUGGAGGCAGGAACUUGUAUUAGAGCAAAGGGCAAAAGGGAAGGGAGGACCAGUGAGGCCUCUGAAGCAAAGAUAGGAGACUUGGGGCCCUGGGCUUGACCAUCCACAAGCAAGCAGUGAAGAUCAGGUGGAAUAAUUGAUGCUGGCAGGUCCUGGAAGAGAAAGUCCUUUGAAGGAAAGAAGAAGAAUGCAUGGGAUUAUCGAGCUCCAGUGUGCUAGGCACUAUACUAUGUUUAAACAUGUCUCUUAACAACCUUGUGAAAUUAUCCCUUCAGUGAUCAUUAAACUGAGACUCAGAGAUUUUAAGCAAUUUGUCCAAGGUCACAAAGCUUGAAAUCAUGAAUUCUGUUUUUCAGAUUUUAUUUGGGAAGAGAUAUCAGAGAGACAAGCAAGAAUGUAUGUUUGCCUAAUUUUAAGAGGUAAAACUAUAUAGAACACUAAGGGAAAUAUCUCCACAACCUUGGAUUUGCCAGUAGUUUCUUAAGUAUAACAUCAAAAGCACAGACAUGAGAGAAAAAAUAGAAAAAUUGGACCUCCUCAAAAUUUAAAUUUGCGCAUCAAAGGAUUCACUGAAGAGAGUGAAAGGACACCCAUGGAAUAGGAGAAAAUAUCUGCAAAUCAUAUAUCUGCUAAACACCUAAUAUCUACUGUGUAUAACGAACUCC